GGCGUGGUACCCUAAUUCGGUAUGGGGCCUGGCUGAUAACCAGGUGGGUUCACCGACCCUUGCGGGUUCGAAUCCCGUCCACGCCG
rnacentral:tRNA from 1 species